GCCCCACCCGUCUAUUUCUAUCUGACCAAAACAUGACCCACUUUUCGGAUUCCCUAACCCACCAGACCCAAUUACACACCCGACCCAUUCAUUUUCCUUGAGCAGUAGAAAGAUAAAGAUCGUCCCAACAAAUAACCCCAACCCCAAAUUUACCCCUGCCACUUGCCACUGCACCUCCCAUCCGUCGGCGACACCCACCGCAACCACAGUCGUCCUACCAGAGCACCACCGUGAGGCAUCGCCUUCCACGCCUCUCUUCGGUUUUCCUGUUUCCAUCUUCUCUCCCGUACCUCUCGCACACCACAGCAGGAAACAACAUCGAACUCCCAACCACCGCACCGUCGUUCGACUACCGCCUUCCACUUUCUCUUUUGCAAUUCAGUUAUGAUUCCUCAAGUUUGAUUCUGUGUCUCAGGGUAAUCAGGUUCGUCAUUCAUUCUUCAUUCUUUCAAGACUUGUAUUUUGGGCUUCAAGAUUGAUCCUGGGUGUAUGAUUCAUUUUGUGCAGAGUCGCAGGCAGUUCAAAUAGGCAUCAUUACCCUUUGAUUCAAGACUUUUAUGUGCAUUAGAUUAAUAUUUUGCUACUUUUUAUUGAUUGAUUAGGAUUAUUGUGACAUUGUCUUUGCACAUUGAUUGUCUUUAUGAACUACAGUGAGUUGCCAAAAUUGUUCAGUUUUGUUUUCUGAAAGUUUUGUACAGUGGGGUGUCGAUAUGCAAAUUUAUUGCUUGGAAAAUUUUGUACACGCUUGAGUUUAAUGUUUAAAUGAUGGAACGAAGUGGCG
rnacentral:lncRNA from 1 species